rnacentral:lncRNA from 1 species
GGGAAGUAUUUCGCAGUGCAUUGCAGAGAGGCUGCCAGAUAAUGAGACUUAGCUUGUGACCUUUAAUUUUAUUCUCUAGCCGCAUUUGCAGUACUAGCUAGUGUACUAGUGUCAUGAUUCUGUCUCAGCUGUGGUCUCUGCUGGGUUUUCGUAAGGAUGCAGCUAGGGAAUAAUAGUGGACAUGCAUGCCAUCACACACUUGACAUGUAAUAAUCCAACGACCAUCCACCGGCCGCGAUCCAUCCUUCAUUUUCGACCCUUGCAACAUCAGAGUUUGUUAGGCUUUGAAAUGCACUAGCUUUUAGAGUAGUAGUAGUAGUAGUAGUAGUAGUAGUAGUAGAGACAUGCAUUGCCAUAGCCGACAAUUAAUUCACUGUUAUUCUCUACUACCUGGACGUGUCUUCUCCGAUCCUUCCAAUUUCUCCAAAGUAUAUAUUGUUCCCUCUCUUUCGUCAUCUUUUUCGGUUUGGAUUGAGACCUCGACAACCGACAGCCGUUUGAUGCAUGCCGAGAUGACUUUGCUGCUGCUAUAUAUUCUAGUGUGAGUGUGAGUGUGAGUGUGGGUGACGCUUUUUAAUUUCGAAAUUAUUCACUUUUUGUGUGCGCGUUCUAAUUUGCAUGGGAUGGGCAGUCAAUUGUGGAAAAGGGGAAGAUGCGACCGAUGCAAGGGACUGCACACAAGCCAUGGGAUGAAAAGCAUGCAGUGAGCUCUGAAUAUCAAAUGACAAAAUUCAAUUCCUCAAAUACUUCUUCAAGAAUUGGGAAUGGCAAAAAAAAAAU